rnacentral:rRNA from 1 species
CACGCCCUAAACGAUGCAUACUAGGUGUGGGGAGAAUCGACCCUCUCCGUGCCGAAGCUAACGCGAUAAGUAUGCCGCCUGGGAAGUACGAUCGCAAGAUUAAAACUCAAAGGAAUAGACGGGGAUCCGCACAAGCGGUGGAGCAUGUGGUUUAAUUCGACGGUAAGCGAGGAACCUCACCAGGGUUUGAAAUCUAGCUGCAGAGUCCAGAAAUGGAAUGUCCUUCGAGGGUGCUAGACCAGGUGC